rnacentral:rRNA from 1 species
AGCAGCCGCGGUAAUUCCAGCUCCAAUAGCGUAUAUUAAAGUUGUUGCAGUUAAAAAGCUCGUAGUUGAAUUUCGGGGUCAAUACGUCGGUCGUGCCUUCGGUACGUACUGGUGUUAUUGAUCUCUCCCUUCUGACGAAUCAUGAUGUCAUUAAUUUGGUGUCGUGGGGAGUCAGGACUGUUACUUUGAAAAAAUUAGAGUGUUUAAAGCAGGCUCACGCUUGAAUACAUUAGCAUGGAAUAAUGAAAUAGGACGUUCGAUCCUAUUUUGUUGGUUUCUAGGAUCAACGUAAUGAUUAAUAGGGAUAGUUGGGGGCAUUAGUAUUCAAUUGUCAGAGGUGAAAUUCUUGGAUUUAUUGAAGACUAACUACUGCGAAAGCAUUUGCCAAGGAUGUUUUCAUUAAUACAAGAAUGAAAGUUAGGGGAUCGAAGACGAUCAGAUACCGUCGUA